rnacentral:misc_RNA from 1 species
GAUGAAGAACGUAGCGAAAUGCGAUAAAUAAUGUGAAUUGCAGAAUUCAGUGAAUCAUCGAGUCUUUGAACGCACAUUGCGCCCCCUGGUAUUCCGGGGGGCAUGCCUGUCCGAGCGUCAUUUCAACCAUCAAGCCCCGGGCUUGUGUUGGGGACCUGCGUCCGACGCAGGCCCUGAAAACCAGUGGCGGGCUCGCUGUCCACACCGAGCGUAGUAACUAACCUCGCUAUGGAGUGGCGCGGGCGCCUGCCGUAAAACCCCCAAUUUCACAAGGUUGACCUCGGAUCAGGUAGGAAUACCCGCUGAACUUAAGCAUAUCAAUAAGCGGAGGA